rnacentral:lncRNA from 1 species
GUGACCCUAAGGGGAUUAAUUAGAUUGUUUAUCUUUGCUAUGCUAUUAAUUAGUAACUUUAGAUUUUGUUGGAACCCUAGCCAUCUCUGCUAUGCUGUUAUCUUUUGUUUGCAAGAUCAAUGGACUAUUUCCUCUGGUGGAAGACCAAUCACUUGUAUUCCUGCUCCGUUUUAUGUUUCAUUUAAUGUGAUUGUAGUUGGAAUGGUGCAUCAGUUUUUUAGAAGUUGAAAAUCAAAAUGGGACAAAUAUUAGAAAAUAAUAUAAUCCUAUUUGGCUCUCUCUCCAAACCAAGGAAAUCCUUGCUCACCUUGCCAAGAUUCAAACCAUUUUCCCACAAAGCCAGCCUCAAGCAUAGGAAAACCCUUCUGCAUCUCCUCCUCUCGGCGUAAGUACAAUGCUCUCUCUCUCUCUAGUCUAUGUUUUGAUUUGUACGUGCAUUCGACCUUGCCCCC